rnacentral:rRNA from 1 species
CCACGCCGUAAACGAUGAGUGCUAAGUGUUAGAGGGUUUCCGCCCUUUAGUGCUGCAGCAAACGCAUUAAGCACUCCGCCUGGGGAGUACGGUCGCAAGACUGAAACUCAAAGGAAUUGACGGGGGCCCGCACAAGCGGUGGAGCAUGUGGUUUAAUUCGAAGCAACGCGAAGAACCUUACCAGGUCUUGACAUCCUUCGCUACUUCUAGAGAUAGAAGGUUCCCCUUCGGGGGACGAAGUGACAGGUGGUGCAUGGUUGU